CCGGUAAACCAGUCGUCUCCAUUUUCUAACACCCCAACAUAACCACCUCCUCGAUUCCGAUUUUCCCACGCACUUUCUCGGCAUCCAAACACGUUGUAACGAAAUCAGAAGAAGAAAGACAAGUGAGAGAAAAAGAGAAAUCUAAGUCCAAUGGCGGAUCCAAUCGCAGCCCCGCACAGAUCCGCCGCGGACCUCUUCUCGGACCCGCUCGACUCCCACCCUCUCUGGUUCAAGCCCGCGCUCUUCCUCUCGCCAGAGUUCGACUCCGAGUCGUACAUCUCCGACCUCCGGACCUUCGUGCCCUUCGACACGCUCCGAUCCGAGCUCCAGUGCUACCUGGCCUCCCUCAACCACGAGCUCAUCGACCUCAUCAACCGCGACUACGCCGACUUCGUCAACCUCAGCACCAAGCUCGUCGACGUCGACUCCGCAGUCGUCCGUAUGCGGGCCCCGCUUGUUGAGCUAAGGGAGAAGAUCGAGCAGUUCAGAGGCUCCGUGCAGAACUCGCUCGUGGCUUUGACGAACGGAUUGAAGCAGAGAUCAGAGGCGGCCGAGGCCAGAGAGGUCUUGGAGCUCCUGCUUGAUACGUUUCAUGUCGUUUCUAAGGUUGAAAAACUAAUAAAAGAGCUGCCCAGUGUGCCGGCUGAUUGGUCGAACGGAGAUGUAAAUUUGGCAGAGAAGAAUUCUAUUAGCAAUGGAGCUUCCUUGCAACAUACUGAGAACGGAACAAAUCUCAGAGACACUCAAAGCAUGCUUUUGGAGAGAAUUGCUAGUGAAAUGAACCGGCUGAAGUUCUAUUUCGCUCAUGCACAGAACCUGCCUUUCAUUGAAAACAUGGAGAAGAGGAUUCAGGGUGCCAGCCUAUUAUUAGAUGCUAGCUUGGGACAUUGUUUUGUAGAUGGACUGGAACAUCGAGAUGCAAAUGCAAUUUACAAUUGUUUACGUGCAUAUGCUGCAAUUGAUAACACUAGGGGUGCCGAAGAACUUUUUCGCACAACUAUAGUAGCUCCAUUGAUACAAAAAAUUAUUCCACAUGGAACAUCGGGGGCAGCUACAAGACCCUCUGGAGAUGACCUUGAGAAUGAUUAUAAGCAAAUCAGGACAUGUAUUGAGAAAGACUGCAAAUUUUUGUUGGAAAUUUCUUUCGAAGAGAAUUCUGGUUUGCACGUUUUUGACUUCUUGGCAAAUUCAAUUCUCAAAGAGGUUCUCUCAGCGAUCCAAAAGGGGAAACCCGGUGCUUUUUCUCCUGGAAGACCAACAGAGUUUUUGAAAAACUACAAAUCAAGCCUAAAGUUCUUGGCUCAUCUAGAAGGCUAUUGUCCAUCCAGAUCAGCUGUUUCCAAAUUUCGAGCGGAAGCUGUUUAUAUUGACUUCAUGAAGCAAUGGAACCUUGGGGUUUAUUUCUCUUUGAGGUUUCAGGAAAUUGCGGGGGCUCUAGAUUCUAUACUUGUGGAGACCAGUCUUCUCCCUAUGCAUAAUGUACCAUCUGGUCAAGGAAAUUCUCUAGCUUUAACAUUAAAACAAAGUGUCACUUUGUUGGAGUGCUUGGAAUCCUGUUGGAGAGAAGAUGUCAUUGUUCUUUCUUGUGCUGACAAGUUUCUGCGCUUAUCAUUGCAGCUUCUUUCAAGAUACUCAAGUUGGUUGUCGUCUGGACUGGCUGCUCGUAAGAUGGGUCAAACCGGCUCCAAAUCUGGUUGUGAAUGGGCUAUUUCAGCUGUUCCUGACGAUUUUAUAUAUAUUAUUCAUGACGCAGACCAGCUGUACAAGGUGGUUUGUGGUGACUUCCUUGGGCAUGUACUUAAGCUUCUUUCUUCUUGUCCUGCCGAUGUUCUUGAUCUUGUAAAACAGAGCCUGUUACAAGGAGGAAAAUCAUUGAAUGAUUUAGUGCCUCAAGUUAUCAACACAAUUGUAGAGGCACUAGUUGAAAAAUCUGCUGCGGAAUUGGCACAGCUAAAGGGAAUAACUGCAACAUACAGGAUGACGAAUAAGCCUCUUCCUGUCAGACAUUCACCCUAUGUGGCAGGAGUAUUGCGUCCCCUGAGGAUUAUAAAUUAUAUACUGAACAAGCAACAACUUCCAGGCAUUUUUGGAAGGAGAACGAGCUACACAGUAUCUUACAAGGGACGCUAUCAACGAAGUGCUGCUUAAUGCUGCAACCGAGAUUACUGGUCGUUAUAAUGAGCAAGCUGCCAACGUCGUCAGUGUGGCUAGGAAAACGGAGACUUCACUCCAGAGAAUAAGGCAAGGUGCACAAAGACGAGGUGGAGCAAGUUCAGAUGUUUCGGAUCACAAUGUAUCGGACACUGAUAAGAUAUGCAUGCAAAUUUUUCUUGACAUUCAGGAGUAUGGGCGUAACCUCGCCGCCCUCGGUGUUGAUGUUUCCAAUAUUGAGGCGUACCGUUCCUUGUGGGAAUGCGUUGCUCCUCCGGACAGGAAAAGCGUGAUUGAUUUCUGAAGUUGGGCAUUUAGCCUUCACCCGGUUUGUAGAUUUGAGCAUUUGGCAUUGACCCGUUUUGUAGAUGUAUUUUCUCACUUUUCAAAUCCAAAGAGUUUUGUUGUAAGUUGAUUAGUUGUGAAGUGUUGUUUGUUGCAAGAGGUUUCUCACAUUCUCAACAACAAAAUAUUAUAAAUUUAGUAUAAAUUAUCUAUCGUUUGUCAAAA